AGAGUUUGAUCCUGGCUCAGGAUGAACGCUAGCGGCAGGCCUAAUACAUGCAAGUCGAGGGGCAGCACGGUAGCAAUACUGGUGGCGACCGGCGCACGGGUGCGUAACACGUAUACAAUCUGCCUUUAACAGGGGGAUAGCCUUUCGAAAGAGAGAUUAAUACCCCAUAACACUAAGAGUAGCAUUACUUUUGGUUAAAAGCUCCGGCGGUUAAAGAUGAGUAUGCGUCUGAUUAGCUAGUUGGUGAGGUAACGGCUCACCAAGGCGACGAUCAGUAGGGGAUCUGAGAGGACUACCCCCCACACGGAUACUGAGACACGGAUCCGACUCCUACGGGAGGCAGCAGUAAGGAAUAUUGGACAAUGCCCGCAAGGGUGAUCCAGCCAUGCCGCGUGCAGGAAGAAGGCGCUAUGCGUCGUAGACUGCUUUUACACCGGAGAAAACCUCCCCUCGUGAGGGGAGCUGAUAGUAUGGUGAGAAUAAGCAUCGGCUAACUUCGUGCCAGCAGCCGCGGUAAGACGAAGGAUGCAAGCGUUAUCCGGAUUCAUUGGGUUUAAAGGGAGCGUAGGUGGACUGAUAAGUCAGUGGUGAAAUCUUUGGGCUUAACCCAAAAAUUGCCAUUGAUACUGUUGGUCUUGAGUACAGUUGCUGUGGGCGGAAUAUGACAUGUAGUGGUGAAAUACAUAGAGAUGUCAUAGAACACCGAUUGCGAAGGCAGCUCACAAAGCUGUAACUGACACUGAGGCUCGAAAGUGCGGGGAUCAAACAGGAUUAGAUACCCUGGUAGUCG
rnacentral:rRNA from 1 species